CUCUCUAACUUCUCUCUAGCCUCCCUAAACCCCUCCCAAGUCUAGGGAACCUCCCUAUCACGAGAAAAAAGCCCCGGAGCGCCCGACGGCUCCGAGAAGAAAAGCUUUCGGCUCGGAAACGCUGCUCCAGCGAAGCCCGGUUUUUAAUAAAAACCCAUUGUUUUGGUCAAGGAAAAAUUGUUUUAAGAAGUAACGAAGAGCUGUCCGAGUGCCGAGUCACCACCUUACCAGGUGUUGAUAUGAAGUGACAUUACACUGAGAGAUUUAAAGAGAUGUAGAUCACUAGUGUAAAUAAUUGAGGAGGCUAGGUCGGGUUGUCGAGCACGAAAGGUUAUCCGACAUCGUACGAGGUACCAGCGAUGAUCGCAGGAAGGCGCCGGCAUGAUCUGUACACAUUGAUGGAGUUUUAUGUAUUUGAGAUCUUGGGAUUGUUUUAUUUGGUGGACAUGUGUUACAUUGGAUUUUGAUAUUUCUUAUGAAUGAAAUUAUGUUUUAAAAAUGAAAAAAAUUGUUUUGGAAAUUCACGUUGUUACAUUGAGUGUUAAUGGAUCGGGGCGGAUCAUCUUUUCAAAAUUUUAAAAUGGUUUGGAUCAAUGGUGGUUCGCUACAAACCCGCCCCAUUGACAAAUUUACCGAAAUGUCAAUCUUCCAAAAAUUGUCAAAAUAUGGGACCAUAGUAUCGAGUCGGGUUAAACAAAGGAGGAGGGACUCGACUAAACUCGGGCCCGAAAUGCCCUAUUCCAUACUAGUUUGUCAUUUAAAAAAACAAAUUGAGAUUAUUUUCUUUAAUUUAACAAUAUAAUAGUUACUUUAAUCAAUAUUCCAUGAUUUUAUAAAACUGGUUGGGUCCACCAACCAAGAUCACCCCAUCGUGGCCGACCCAAGAGGAGUGCGGAAAGUGCCUUUGAAAAGGGCCCAUUCUUCUUUAGAGACCUAAAUUUUUUGUCCUACUUAAUACCAGUCUAUAUUUUUUUAGGCUCAAGUCUCUUUAGGUUAAUUAAUGUUCACAACUUCAUGUACUCGGAACUCGAGACGUGUGAAGUUAAUCUGGAAAUUGGAAAACGAGAAUGUCGCAUGAGUUUCUCGAUGAUCAAUUGUCAAUUGGUGAUACAUUUGAAACUAAGGGCAAC